UGAAAAUUCUGCUGGAAAACUCACUCCUGAGCUCCAUAUAUAUUAUAAUCAAAGAGUAUUAUAAUUCUCUUUGAUUCACCCCUUGAAAGUCAGCAAUUUAUAGGUACGUUUGUUUUCCAUAUAUAUUAUAAUUCUCUUUGGUUUGUUCUCUCGGGCUUGUUUGUGAUUUCCAACAUUUAUGUCACACAUGCCACGAUCAACACAAAUUCCGAGACCGAACAUUUUAGUUAAGAUCGCAUAAUAAUAUUUUUAAUUUAGAUGGAAAAAUUUACCCAAUGCAUCCAAGUUGACAUUUCAUCUGAUGACUAUUUUGAAAUAUUUAAAAAUCAUGAAGUUUUCGAUGUGGAGCGAAAUAAAUGCUUCGUGGACUUAA